ACCAGCUUGCUUGUGACCACUGCUGAACCAGAUCUGUAAAAUAUAAAAACUUUGUUUAAUGAACAUCCAAUUUUUGCAAUAAAAUUCCUUCUCUAAUUUUGAUUGUUGUCAAAAUAGAAAACCAAAAUUUACAUGAGGUUUGGAGUAGUAACAGAAACACUGGUUGUUGUUUCUGGAAACACUGUUGUAGUGGUUGGUAGACGUAGCUCAUUGAGGAAGCUGACUGGUUGUAUGACAUCUCCAUCCUGGAAGCUGUAUUCCAUCCUGCCAUCAAUCUGGUUUGAAGUGCUUCUACAAGACAAACAAUAGAUAUUUGUUAGGUACUUUAAUCCACAUCUUGAAAAAGUUUUUCUUUUAUUUUUUUUUUUUAUUACUAAUCCUAAUUUUUUUUUGUAACUUUACGUAGCUUCAAUGAGCUAAAAUAAGAGGACACAUGAAGUAAAGACUGUGAAGCGAGUUCGCAUCUUACGUGAAGUUGGAGGACUUUGGUUGUAAAGUUGGACUUCCAGGUUCAUUCAGAAGAGUGUUCAGCUGCAGGAGAAAAAUCAAACCAUUCAUCAGUUUCUCCUGAAGACUGCCACUGAACCUAAGAUGUAUUACACUGUUCAUUUUUGAAAUUUACCGCAUUAUUGAUGGUAUCCUGCACUUUCUGGUUGGUGUUGCCUCUAGACACAGGGUCCUCUGGCAUGCUGAUGUUAAUCACGUUAAAUGUAAAGACCACAGCAUAGGAGGUUUCUGAGAUCUCUGUUUGGAUGGAAAUGGUAAUUUUAAGAAUUUCCAAAGCCUGUAAUACAUCAUUGUUUGACUCAAUCUCAUUUCAGAACUUUCCAAGUGAAAAUGAUGACACUUACUCUCAUAGGUGACAUUCACCACCUUCACCGAUUCAUUGAGCUGUGACUCUCUGGAAUUACGCAGAGUUUUGAUUGCAUUGAGGACUAGAGAUUCACUGGGGACUGGAGAUGAGGAGUUGAACACCAGCUUGCUUGUGACCACUGCUGAACCAGAUCUGCAUAUAUGACCAUUUUUGUUUAAUUUACAUUAAUUUUCUUGCAAUAAAAUCAUGACUUCUGCAUUUUUUAAUUUUAUUAAAAUAGAAAACCAAAAUUUACAUGAGGUUUGGAGUAGUAACAGAAACACUGGUUGUUGUUUCUGGAAACACUGUUGUAGUGGUUGGUAGACGUAGCUCAUUGAGGAAGCUGACUGGUUGUAUGACAUCUCCAUCCUGGAAGCUGUAUUCCAUCCUGCCAUCAAUCUGGUUUGAAGUGCUUCUACAAGACAAACAAUAGAUAUUUGUUAAGGACUUUAAUCCACAUCUUGAAAAAGUUUUUUUUUUUUUUUUUUUAUUACAAAUCCUAAUUUUUUUUUGUAACUUUACGUAGCUUCAAUGAGCUAAAAUAAGAGGACACAUGAAGUAAAGACUGUGAAGCGAGUUCGCAUCUUACGUGAAGUUGGAGGACUUUGGUUGUAAAGUUGGACUUCCAGGUUCAUUCAGAAGAGUGUUCAGCUGCAGGAGAAAAAUCAAACCAUUCAUCAGUUUCUCGUAAAGACUGGAAUUGAACCUAAGAUGUAUUACACUGUUCAUUUUUGAAGUUUACCGCAUUAUUGAUGGUAUCCUGCACUUUCUGGUUGGUGUUGCCUCUAGACACAGGGUCCUCUGGCAUGCUGAUGUUAAUCACGUUAAAUGUAAAGACCACAGCAUAGGAGGUUUCUGAGAUUUCUGUUUGGAUGGAAAUGGUAAUUUUAAGAAUUUCCAAAAGCCUGUAAUACAUCAUUGUUUGACUCAAUCUCAU
ensembl:lncRNA